GUGAAUCUCCGCUGUACUGGGAACUGGCGCUUUCCUCACAUAACUCUGCAAGGCAGGUAUUACUAUCUCCAUUUAACAGAGUAGCAGCAAAGGCCCAGAGAGGUUCAUUGCUUGAUUAGGGUCACACAGGUAGUAGCGAUAGGAGGCUGAGUCUUUAUCCCUUCUACCCUGUUGCCUGCUUUUAGGUGUGCUUCACACCCACGUGUGCAGACAUUCAUGGAGCCAGGAUAAAAUGUCAUGCCAAUGGUCUCCAUCUUUGGAGUCACUAAUCAUUUUAGCCUAUUUAACCAACACCAGAUUCUGGAAUUUAAUAAAUAAUGCUACACCAUCCAUAAAUGUCGAAAGAGCCCAACUGUGAUUUGCGCCUUAUGUGAAUACUGCAUUGUAACUGAGCCAGGAGAAGCCGUUGAACUAGCCUUCUAAGUGACAGCAUCUUAAAAGAGAUUUCUCAUCGGACAGUUUGGUGUGGAGGGUGGUCAGAUGCUUUCUUAUUAGAACAAUGCCCCCAUAGAUUUCAAAUGAAAUUCUGGGGCUCCUCAAGAUUUGUUUAAAGAGAAAGAGGGGGUCAGCAGGACAUUAAUGUAGAAAGGGAAGAAAAAGCUUCUACUUGGUCACCUCGAGUUAGAAAAUUUCCAUUUCAACAUUGUCAAUCCCUCACCUCUCACGUGUAUAAAUUCACUACCAAAGGCCAAAGUAUUCUCUUUCUUUUCUUUCCUUUUUUUUUUCUCUCUUGCCACAAAACCAGCUCUUAUUUAGGUCUCUUGCAAAGCGGCACAAACCAACUGUUCCUCCUCAGAUUAUCCCUUUCAGGGCUCAGGUGAUAUGCCUCCUUGGGUUAUACCUUCCCUGUUUUGUGGUCUGAUGUGUGCUGUGUCAUUCUAUAAUAUUCCACUUUGCAAGAAAAUAUUUAUGUAUGAGUCUCAUUAGGUCCCAUUUCCUCUGGGAAUGGUCCUGCGUGCAGUGUUUUCAUGCCAGCGGCAGGCAGUGAAUCGCUGGUCUUCAUGGGACAACUGGACAGCUGGCAGGAAACCAGGAAACUUCUCCUUCCCUUCUGUGACUUCGCUCAGCCAGAAAACUACAAGGUGUGUGACUGUAGGAUGAAAAGUUCCUGAGAGGUUGAAUAUAACACUUUGAGAAAACACUUGGACGGAAACUUGUUGAUGUUGAAGGAAUGGAAAUGUGUACCAUUCAAAGAAUGUUUUUUUCCUAGAUCUGGAAACACAAUGGCUUACGUAUACAGAGUCUUUUCAUUAUUUUAAUUUUUUUUCUUUUUAUUACUGGUAAAUAGGAAUUCCCAUUAUUCACCAAAGAGCAGCGAAACUGACACUCUGUAUAGCUGAGAUGAGGGUACGUUGGCAAAACCCUUUUGGAAACUCAUUUGACCAUGUGUAUCAAGAGCCAUGAGAUUUUUUUAUAACCCAUGACCAAUUAAUUUUUACUUCUAGGAAUCCAUUCUCAGUACCAAAAAGAUUAUGCUCGAAAAUGUUCAUCAAACUCUUGCUUAUAAUAGUUAGAACAGGAAAUGGAAGUAUAAAAUAUUUUCUUGAUAUUCAUUGUUAUGCAGCUGCUGUAAUAAUAUUGAAAUAGGAUAUGCACUCUUAAUGAUUACAAAUACACAGGCAAAAUAUGCAGAAUUAUAAUAAUAGAUAAAAUUUAUUCUCUGCUUAAUAUAUAAAAGGCAAUGUGUCAAAUGCUUUAUAGUCAUGUCUCCUUUAAUCUGCUCACCAGAUUAAGCCAAAUUUAUUAUAUCUCCAUUUUACAGAUGAGGAAAGAGAGUCACAGGAAUUGGUUUAUCUAGAGUAACACUGCUAGGGUGAAAUUUGAACCCCAUCCUGGUUGAUGACAGACCUUACACAACAUGCAAUUCCUCAUGCUAUGUGGUUAAUUUUGAGUAAAAAAAAAACAAUCAUCAACCACAAAAGAAGAAAGAAAGAAAGAAAAAAGCACCCCAAACUAAAGGCAACCCAACACCAAUAAACAAACAUCUGACAAGCUCUAUUCUUAUGAUAAUCACAUGAAAAAGUAAAUAGGAAAGCUUAAACCAAGAGAAAACAGCCAAACUUGAAAAGACUCAUCUUCCACCAGUUAAUAAAAUGACAGGUAGCUAUCUGAAACAACACUUAAAUGUUUAAGGUCUUUCCUCUGGAUGGGAAUUAGAUCCUACAUUUUUUUUUUUUUUUAACAUCUUUGUUGGAGUAUAAUUGCUUUACAAUGGUGUGUUAGUUUCUGCUGUAUAACAAAGUGAAUCAGCUAUUCCUAUACAUAUAUCCCCAUAUCCCCUUGACAUGUCUGAUCUUUUACUAAGAGAAUCUAAGUAAUAUUAUUCUGCCAACUUAAAGAAGCAAAUCUUAAUGAGAGCAAUUCUUGUAUGCAGAUGGAAAAGACUCUGUCCAGGGUGAAUUGAGAAUUUUCUGGUGGACUGGGUCCUAGACCAGUGGUUCUUAACUUACUUUGUGUGAGAACAUAUUUGAAAAUACUAAUGAUAACUAUGGUCUGUCUCUGUUUUUCUCUCUCCAGUCAUUUCUCAGUAUCCAUCUGGGAUUGCUUCCUGGACCUCCGAGGACACCAAAAUCCACAGAUGCUCAAGUCCCUUGUAUAAAUGAUGUAGUACAAUUGGCCUUCCCUAGUGGCAGGUUCCGAAUCCACAGAUUCAUCCAACUGCGGAUCAAAUUUUGGUUGGGUGAACAUUCAGAUGUGGAAUCCGCAGUUAACAAGAACCCAUCGUAUUAAUAUUUAUACAACAUUUUAUUGCAUAUCUAUCUACUUUUAUUCUACUUUGAAAUCUUUUGGGUUCAUUGAUGGUUUGAGGACUUAAAUUAAAAUUCCCUUUUAUGUUUUGGCUUUCAUAGUGUUCUUUGUCCCACAAUUUGGGGGGAUAUUCUUUCCUAAAUCGUUCAAACACUGAUACAGUUUCCUCAGAGUCUUAUCUACACUUGGAUAACUAAGGUUUGUAAAGUAAGUUAGUAUAAUGAAUAAUUUAGUUUUCAUGUUUUCUUCAAUAUGUUCACAUGUUAUUAUGGCCACUUGUAUUCCGAUGUGUGGCUAACAACUGCCUUUUUGGUUUUCCGUGUUAGGAUGAAGAAAAAAAAGGAGGAUAUGCAUCACUAAGAAUCAAAGGAAGUGCCUGACUCUAUAACAAAGAGAAAAGCUUCAAAAUGAUUGUACAACACGAAGACAGAAAUAACCAUGUUAAGAGGUCAUCGGUCUGACUUCUCCAGAAACUUCCCCUGGGCAGCGGUCUCUACCUCUGUUACAGAAGACUGCAAAAAUACCAGCCAUUGUGCAUCUGGCCAAUUAUGCAAUGUUCUAUCACGGGGGGAAAUUCCUUCCUCACUCCAGCUGGUAACUCCAUGGAGCUGUCAGGCGUUUUACACCUUAAUGUGAAGACAUAUGGGUGCAUGGGUCCCUGCCCUCACCCGGACUGGCCCCCAGGGAAAGUGAGGCUCCAGAUGCAGCUGCUGCCUGCGGACCCCCUGUACUGCCUGGGGAAGUGGGUCAGGACUCCUGCAGCGGAUGGGUGGGGCAGCUGCAAGAUGAUCUGAAGGUGGCCCAAACAACAGUGCUUUCCAGAUGUGGGUGAGGCUAUAGCCAAGAUCAUCACUGGGUUAAUCUGCCUAACUGAAGACUUUUACUGAAGAAAGUUUAGCUAACAACAUACAAGUAUUCAUGUCUCAAGGACCCAGAGAAAGAUAAAUUUUAAUUUUUUUCAGAUUUUAAAUACUUCUUCUCAAGAGGCGCAGCCCGUCUUUCUCUCCUGUAGAAGUGAAGGAAGCACCAGUUACCCUUCUGAUUUUAAUCAGAAAAUAUAAAUGUAAAAUAUGAAUUCGAUAAAAAUGUAAGCUUGGCUUUUACUAUUUCCUGAACAUGUGCUCAUUAUCUUUUAAUAAAUAAAGUGUACUUUAAGGGUGAUAAGAAGAAGGAGAACUUUAAAAAUUGUUAAUGAAUGUGGUGAACAUAGGUAGUGAAGCAAAGGCGUAGUUUAAGAUAAAUCCCAGUAAUACCAGGAAGAAAAUACAGUCAGUGGUUAAGGAAUCUACGUUUGUGGUUGUUUUAAAGGUGGCUGAGUGUGCCGUACUCUGCAGAAGUGACUAGAAGGGGACAGAGGACUGUGACAUGGGUCACUUUUGUUUCUCUUUGUGCUCCAAGCUUAGAAGGUUGAUUUUGCCUUCAACAUAUUGGAAUAGUGGUUCUUGAUUCAUCCUAAUGAUUAGAAGAAUUUUAAUGUAUUUUUCUGUAUAUCCAAACACUAAAAAAACAAUAUUAGACAGCUAGUCCUUGCCACCCAGAUGUUCAGAGUUCAAAGCAAAUAACAACAUGACAGGCCAGAGGCAACUGAGCCAUCUAUCAAACAAAUGCAUGGCCUGAUGAGACAGCAGAUUAAAAGGCUUAACUGAGGCUAGUUUCAGCUGGUGGAGAUAAGUGCCCAACUGUGUUUUCCACCAAAAUGCAGUUUUUUCUAUUGUUUUUGAUACUAUAAAAGCAAUGUAUACUCAUUAUAGAGAAAAAUUAGAGUAUACAAAGCAAAACUAAGAGCACCCCCAAAAUGAAUUUUCCCUUUCAUCACAAAUCAGCCAUUGUGAUUGCACUGCUAUAUAUUCUUGUAAGUAAAUAAAAUUGCAUCUUAUUCUACAUAAUAUGUUGUAACCAGCUUUUUCCAUUUAAUGUAGCAUCAAAUACAUCCUUAUCACUAGACUUAUUUCCUUAGAAUCAUUUUUAUGGCUUCAAGUUAUUCCAUUUCUGGAUUUGCUAAUGCAUAUUUAAACAAUUUGCAUUUAUGACACGAUCUGGUGGUUUCUAACUUUUCUCUAUUUGAAGAUAUUGCUUUAAAAUAUGUAGAGUAAGAUGUUGAUUGGUGUAAUCAUCUCAAAGGUUUAUGUGCUAGAAUAAGAAACUAUUGUUUGUCAAGAAAGCAUAUUACAUGCUGCAAAUCAGUUCAUCACCUUAAAAAAAUUAAAACAUAUGGAAAACUGAGAAUAAGAUAUAAACAUCAAGUUAGCUUGACUCUUUAUUUUAAAAAUUUGGAUGUUAUGUUUUAUAAACAAACCAGUCCAGUGUUUGAGAGUGAUGGUAAAAAAGUUUGGAAGGCGAGGUGGAGAUUUUAAGGAUAUUAGGAUAAGAGUGGGCUUUACGUGUACAUAUAUCCCCUUUUUUGGAUGUCCUUCUCAUUUAAGUCACCACAAAGCCUUGAGUAGAGUUCCCUGUGCUAUACAGUAAGUUCUUAUUAGUUAUCUAUUUUAUACAUAGUAUCAAUAGUGU